AUACGGGAGGCAGCAGUGGGGAAUAUUGGACAAUGGGCGCAAGCCUGAUCCAGCAAUACCGCGUGUGUGAAGAAGGCCUGAGGGUUGUAAAGCACUUUUAAUAGGGAGGAACAUCUACGAGUUAAUACCUCGUAGUCUGACAUUACCUAUAGAAAAAGCACCGGCUAACUCCGUGCCAGCAGCCGCGGUAAUACGGAGGGUGCAAGCGUUAAUCGGAAUUACUGGGCGUAAAGCGUGCGUAGGCGGUUUGCUAAGUCAGAUGUGAAAGCCCCGGGCUUAACCUGGGAACUGCAUUUGAUACUGGCAAACUAGAGUUUAAUAGAGGGGAGUGGAAUUUCAGGUGUAGCGGUGAAAUGCGUAGAGAUCUGAAGGAACACCAGUGGCGAAGGCGACUCCCUGGAUUAAAACUGACGCUGAGGUACGAAAGCGUGGGUAGCAAACAGGAUUAGAUACCCCGGU
rnacentral:rRNA from 1 species